UCACAUCUCCUUUGAUUGACUAACUGGUCCGUCCCUGUUGGUGCCGGAGGGCGCUGUUGAUCAUCUUCUCAGAUGGAUCACCAUCCCCAUACCAUUCGACCCCAAAAUUUUUAUCAAGGAAAAUACCCUUUCAGCCCCAAAAAUUUGGUUUAUAAAGAAGGAGAAAAAAAAUUUCCACCGAAAAAUUAGUCAAAAUCUUCAAAAUUUCUUAAAUUUUGUAAAAAAAAAUUUGUUUAAAAACAAAUCAGACUGAAUCUGAUACAAGGGAUCACUCAAUUGGUCCUGAUCUAUCAGUUAAAUCGAUCUAAACAGGAG
rnacentral:lncRNA from 1 species